GACGGAGGGGGCUAGCGGUGGUCGGAAUGACUGGGCGUAAAGGGCGCGUAGGCGGUUUUUUAGGUAAGGCGUGAAAGCCCUGGGCUUAACCCAGGAGGUGAGUUUUAGACUGGAAGACUUGAGUGCGAGAGAGUAAAGUGGAAUUCCUAGUGUAGAGGUGAAAUUCGUAGAUAUUAGGAAGAACACACGUUGCGAAGGCGGCUUUCUGGCUCGCAACUGACGCUGAGGAGCGAAAGCGUGGGGAGCAAACAGG
rnacentral:rRNA from 1 species